rnacentral:rRNA from 1 species
UACGUGGGGACCGAGCGUUGUCCGGAAUUACUGGGCGUAAAGGGCGUGCAGGUGGCGCGAUAAGCUUGGCGUGAAAGCCCCCGGCCCAACCGGGGAGGGUCGUCGAGGACUGUCGGGCUUGAGGGGCGCAGGGGUCGGUGGAAUUCCGGGUGUAGUGGUGAAAUGCGUAGAGAUCCGGAGGAACACCAGUGGCGAAGGCGGCCGACUGGGCGCACCCUGACACUGAGACGCGAAGGCGUGGGGAGCGAACGGG